rnacentral:misc_RNA from 1 species
GUAGGAUGUUGUUUCAAUUUAGGGUUUAUUAGAUUUUUUUUUCUCUUCUCAUUUGUUAAUCUUCAUUGAUUGAUUUAAGAGACAUACCGAUGAUAUUUUGUCUGGAUAACUAAUAUUUUAUGAAUGGAUAAUUUUGGAACUAUAUUUUAUUCUCAUCUAUGGCAGAAGUUAUUGUUAGAUCCUCGUUUGGAGUUUGAUUAUUGAUCAAUGCUGAUUUUGUUGCAAUUUAAGAGUUAUAACUUCAUUUAAGGUUUCUGAUUUAGUCCAUGUCAUUGUGAAACUAAGAUAAUGACUUAUUGUGUCCAAUGAAUUUGCCCAAUUAGUAAGUACUUUGGGCUAAAGUAUAAUAUUUCAGUAUCUUUUGCAUAUUUUUUCCCUUUGGAAUCUUGCUGUGAUAUUGUAACUUUUUUUGGUAAUGAUCCUAGUUUGGUAAGGCUUGAGACUUGGAAUCCCACAUUGAAAGUAUGGGAUU